UCCAACAACGUCUGAGCUCAAUGUCUGUUGUGUUUCUAUCCAAGUGCCCGCGUGGGAAACGACGUCGGGAGGAGAACGCUUCCGACGCCCCCGAGUCCUGCGCCUCCGUGGAGGGAGUGGUCCAUGGUUACCAUGGUAACCACGGUGGCGGCUGCUGCUGCUGUGAGGGUGUGCUGUGAUCAUCUGGUGGCCUUGCCGUUUUCGUGGACGUCCAUUCUGAGGCCGGGAGAGAAAAGGUUUCCCUCCACUCCAGGAGGGGUUAUCCGCUGACAGGACGGUCCCAUCAACCCAUCUCCACAACCCCUCACUGGCCUCAUCUGUCGCUCCGAGCCAGAAGUACUCGGCGUAUCCGCUAAUGAAGUCCAUCUCCUCUUUACUGUCCACCACCACCAGAUCUGCUCCGAAGGAAACACAGAGCUCCCUGCUCUUACUCCAGGAUCCCCUCUCACUGAAAUAUCUGUAACAGUUACAACCCAACUUAUACCAACCACCUUGACAGUCCUUUUUACAAAGCAGUGCGUCUCUCUGCUCUGUCACAUUCUUCAGCCUUUGGACAAGUUGCUCCACGUCUCCGUCCAUGCUUACGGUCUUGUGUUGCACUGCCAACCGAAGCAGUCCAGCCAGCAGGGCAACAGACAGCAGGACCAGAAGCACCACCACAGCCCUGAUCUGACGCCGAGGAGGGCUCACAGGGUCCGGCUGCUGACUUCUUACUGUUCCCAGAGUAUUGGAGGACUCCUCUGUCCCCACAUAGUCCUGGUGUUGUUCUCUGAGGCUCUCAAUGCUAUCGUAGAUCUCCACUAUCCUCUCCUCUCUCUCUCCUUGUGUGUUCCUGGCAAUGUUGUGCGUGGCGUGAAUCACCUCAGCCAUAUUCUGGUUUAAACUGUUUUCAGAGUUUCUUAUCGUCCUACCCCUAUGAGUGCUCGGUCUUUCUGUGCGUUUUGAAUGCCAGCAUGUCAAAGUCUUAACGCCUACUUUGAUCAUACAGGAAGUAUUUUAACCAGAGGCUACCUGCUACAUGUGCUGGCAGAGUCACUGUGUGGUAAGACACAUCCUGUUUUCUUAGUUAGUGGUACAUGCAGUGCAUCACUUAUGGUCAUAACCAUAAGGUUGAUUUGUUGAUCAACAUCAAAAGGACCAAAUUAACAUCAAGACAUUCUUCAAAUACACAUUUGAGCCAUAGGUCUUGGCUAACUGUUAAUUAAUGGCUGUGUCUGUUAAAGCAGAUCAUUUGAUAGACGUUGAUGAUAUUAUUGAUGUCCACUCCAGAAAGAAAUUCCAUGUUCGUGCCCCCCUUAAGUUACAAAGCAGAUCUCCCCCUGGCCUACCAGGUAGGUAGACAGACAGGUAGGCCGUCUAAUCAUUAAUUUGGCCCGAGAUUAACGAUUGGACGGGCUUUUUGUAGUCCUGCAGCAUCCCAAGAUAUCAGAUUUCCUUUAUUAUAGUCGGCGCCUUCGGUUUAUUAAUUGGGUCUGGAUGUACAGGAUCCACAAUAAUGAGAAAAAAUGCUUGAUGGUGGACGGUGGCAGAUGGUAAUCAUGGAAUAUAAAAAGCACUCUGAUUGGCUCAGGAUAUAGCCAAUGAGGCACAGUGAAUCAGCAGCGUUAGGAGAGAAGAUUUGGGUGAGAUGUCACAAUUUGGUCCGUGUAUUACCACAACUUAAGGGUUUACCACAUAUUACAUCGAUGACCCUUGACCUAUGAUAAGCAGCUGCUGAAUGACCAUGUUGCACACUUGAUAUUGUUUAACUUUGACAUGUAACAGAAUAACUCGUGUCUAUACCAAAGUCAAACUCAACCCUCUGCAAAAGUGAUUAGUAAUAUAUAGAGAACAGAUGGCAAGAGUAAGAGGUACACAUUUGUACGAUCAUUUGGCAGAUGCUUUUAACAAAGCGUCCUAACAAUAAUGUAACUGCAAUAAUGACAUAAACACGAGUGACGGAAA